AACUUUAUAUUUUAGUCCUUAUAAAAUAUAUGACAAGGACUAAAAGGCAAAAAAAAAUUGUAUCUACAAGGAUUGAAAUGGAACGUUUUUAACUGUAAGGACUAAAAGGUACACAAUUUAUGAAACUAUAGGGAUUGAAAGAGUAAUUAAAUCUUUAUUCAUUUAUUAUUGGAGAAAAGGGAGAUAAGGGGUAAUUCAUAAGUGGUUCCUCUCUAUUUAGAUGCCAAUAAAUACUAGAUAUUAUUUGAUUAUUGUUUUUUUUAUUAUUAAGGCCUUACUUUUGCUCAUUUUUCAUUCAUAAGAAAAGUUUGUUUAGGAUGUUUUCUCCGCUCUGUAGUUUUGGAAAUUUUUGAACUAUGAUGAUAUCUCUUAAUCUUUUUUGAAUUUGGCUACUUUAUAGCAAUGGUGCACUUUCGAGGGAAAAUUAGGGAGUAAUAUAAACAUUUUUUAUUUUCUAAUCAAUGGUUGACAUUGUAAUGAAAAAUACAUGAAUAUAUGCAUUAAACUGAAUCAACUGAUAUUUAUGCCCAUUGUAAACGGGGAAACUAGAUAUGCCAAAAAAGCAAUGAUUUGCGGGUUUAAGAAAGGAAAAUGAAGAAUAACAGAAAGGGACAUGAGGUGGAAUAUUCUAUGCACCGAGAGAGACUAUCAUAACCGAAUGGGGAUAAGUGGCUUGGGGAUUUGGUAAUCAGUGAGAAAAUUGGGUGAAUGGCAGUAUACAAGAGAGCAGGGUAGACAGAAAAGGUAAGCAGAAACUUGUUUUAUUGAAGUUUAAUUGGUUGUAGGGUCAGAACUCUCAUUUUCUUUAAUAAAAAUAUUCAUUUUCUUGUCAGUUUUAUCACAAAUACUGAGGUUAUUUAAACUAUAGAGAAAAGAGGCACUUUGUACCUCUAUUUAAAAGAAGAGAGAAAAAAAAAAUAAUGAGUGGUUAUUUAAAGUGAGAGAUUUUAAAACUGCUAAUGUCACGAUCAAAUAAAAAUAAGGGAGAGAAUAAAUAAAUAAAUAAAAUAGAAACUAAUUUAGAUGUAGUUAUAAGAGUAAACUAGUCCAAAAUUUUGUGUAUACAAAAAGGUUUUAACUCCAGACUUAAGCACACGCCUCACUUUGGAGAAACCAAAUCACUUUUUUCUUGAAGAGAUUGAUUUAGCGGUUUACAUGCUGACACCCUGUUUUGUAGCUUCAAUUGUUCUGUGCUAUCUAGCCAAACCCUAUCAAUAUUUGGUUUUAAACUUUUAAUUUAAUCUAGAAAAGAAAGAUCUGACUCUUUGUCUGGAACUAGCAAUUAAUAGCUCAGUCGCAGAGGAUCAGCUAAACCCCCGUGAGCUCUCGUAGAUCAGAUGAUACUCUGCAGUUUUUAUAAGAGAUAUUUUCUGGAUAUUCAAACAUGUGUUUUGGACCUUAUUCCUCAGCAUUUGUCUUCUGUCUGUCAAUUUUGCUAACAUGGAGCAACAAUAUUUGAAAUUACCAACAAUUAUUACAUUUUAUUACGUUUCGAUAUGAUCCCAAAUAUUUUCCCUAUCUUUUCAGCAUGUGAACGUCUUAUCCUGCUGAAAAAUGAUGCAAAUGAGUUAAGAGAUUACAGCAUUCUUCUCUAUCAUUGUGGAUUAUAUGAGCAGUCACUGGAAUAUCUGAAGAAGUACCGGGAACUAAAGAACUCAUCUACACAAGAGACGUCAUCAUCAAACUCUCUUAUCAGCCUGGAAGAAGAUGCUGUGGAUAACCUGAUGAUGCGCUUGAAUCUCGUCUUGAUGGAGCAUGGGUGGACUCGGCCAUCUUAUGCCAGGAAUUAUCUUGGUAAUAACUCUGAACCAUGGUAGUUCCUCUACCACGUUGACUGAGACAACAUCAAAGAAGAUUUGCAUCAAGACCAUAUCGGAAACGAAAGGAGAUGGUUCAUGGAGGCAAGUUUUGUUGUAUUUUCUGGACACCAACUGUGGGAUUCGGGGAUGCAUGCAGCUGUAGUUCCAAUAAUUGCAUGCUUUGCAAUCAUACAAAUAAAAAGGUGAUCAAAACUGCUGAAGUGGACGAGAUUGUCCAAUAAAUAGAGAUAUUGCACAUAGGUUGAUUGAAAGUAACAACCUUA